rnacentral:rRNA from 1 species
GCUUGCACCUUUCAAGUGAGUGGCGAACGGGUGAGUAACACGUGGACAACCUGCCUCAAGGCUGGGGAUAACAUUUGGAAACAGAUGCUAAUACCGAAUAAAACUUAGUGUCGCAUGACAAAAAGUUAAAAGGCGCUUCGGCGUCACCUAGAGAUGGAUCCGCGGUGCAUUAGUUAGUUGGUGGGGUAAAGGCCUACCAAGACAAUGAUGCAUAGCCGAGUUGAGAGACUGAUCGGCCACAUUGGGACUGAGACACGGCCCAAACUCCUACGGGAGGCUGCAGUAGGGAAUCUUCCACAAUGGGCGAAAGCCUGAUGGAGCAACGCCGCGUGUGUGAUGAAGGCUUUCGGGUCGUAAAGCACUGUUGUAUGGGAAGAACAGCUAGAAUAGGAAAUGAUUUUAGUUUGACGGUACCAUACCAGAAAGGGACGGCUAAAUACGUGCCAGCAGCCGCGGUAAUACGUAUGUCCCGAGCGUUAUCCGGAUUUAUUGGGCGUAAAGCGAGCGCAGACGGUUUAUUAAGUCUGAUGUGAAAGCCCGGAGCUCAACUCCGGAAUGGCAUUGGAAACUGGUUAACUUGAGUGCAGUAGAGGUAAGUGGAACUCCAUGUGUAGCGGUGGAAUGCGUAGAUAUAUGGAAGAACACCAGUGGCGAAGGCGGCUUACUGGACUGCAACUGACGUUGAGGCUCGAAAGUGUGGGUAGCAAACAGGAUUAGAUACCCUGGUAGUCCACACCGUAAACGAUGAACACUAGGUGUUAGGAGGUUUCCGCCUCUUAGUGCCGAAGCUAACGCA